rnacentral:rRNA from 1 species
AGUGAACGCUGGCGGUAGGCCUAACACAUGCAAGUCGAACGGCAGCACAGUAAGAGCUUGCUCUUACGGGUGGCGAGUGGCGGACGGGUGAGGAAUACAUCGGAAUCUACUUUUUCGUGGGGGAUAACGUAGGGAAACUUACGCUAAUACCGCAUACGACCUACGGGUGAAAGCAGGGGAUCUUCGGACCUUGCGCGAUUGAAUGAGCCGAUGUCGGAUUAGCUAGUUGGCGGGGUAAAGGCCCACCAAGGCGACGAUCCGUAGCUGGUCUGAGAGGAUGAUCGGCAACACUGGAACGGAGACACGGUCCAGACUCCUACGGGAGGCAGCAGUGGGGAAUAUUGGACAAUGGGCGCAAGCCUGAUCCAGACAUACCGCGUGGGUGAAGAAGGCCUUCGGGUUGUAAAGCCCUUUUGUUGGGAAAGAAAAGCAGCAGGUUAAUACCCCGAUGUUCUGACGGUACCCAAAGAAUAAGCACCGGCUAACUUCGUG